GUUGAUAAAUGUAUAUGGUUGCGUUUGUCUUCUUUAUGGCAUACUGUGUUAAUCAAAAUUAUUAAUCAAAACUGCCUCCACAACAUAGUUUCAGCCCCUUCAAGAUUCAUCAAGCAAUUGACAAUAGAAAAUAGGCAUAUAUGUUCCCCCAACAUCAAGAUUCCCAUACCCCUUUGGCACCCAAAAAACAUGUGAUAAAAAGCAAACAGAAGCAGUAG
rnacentral:lncRNA from 1 species